CGACGGCAGCACAGCAGUAGCAAUACUGUGGGUGGCGAGUGGCGGACGGGUGAGUAAUGCAUCGGGAUCUACCCUGACGUGGGGGAUAACCUCGGGAAACCGGGACUAAUACCGCAUACGUCCUACGGGAGAAAGCGGGGGACCUUCGGGCCUCGCGCGGCAGGACGAACCGAUGUGCGAUUAGCUAGUUGGCGGGGUAAUGGCCCACCAAGGCGACGAUCGCUAGCUGGUCUGAGAGGAUGAUCAGCCACACUGGGACUGAGACACGGCCCAGACUCCUACGGGAGGCAGCAGUGGGGAAUAUUGGACAAUGGGCGCAAGCCUGAUCCAGCAAUGCCGCGUGUGUGAAGAAGGCCUUCGGGUUGUAAAGCACUUUUAUCAGGAGCGAAAUACCACGGGUUAAUACCCUAUGGGGCUGACGGUACCUGAGGAAUAAGCACCGGCUAACUUCGUGCCAGCAGCCGCGGUAAUACGAAGGGUGCAAGCGUUAAUCGGAAUUACUGGGCGUAAAGGGUGCGUAGGCGGUUACUUAAGUCUGUCGUGAAAUCCCCGGGCUCAACCUGGGAAUGGCGAUGGAUACUGGGUGGCUAGAGUGUGUCAGAGGAUGGCGGAAUUCCACGUGUAGCAGUGAAAUGCGUAGAGAUGUGGAGGAACACCGAUGGCGAAGGCAGCCCCCUGGGCCAAUACUGACGCUCAUGCACGAAAGCGUGGGUAGCAAACAGGAUUAGAUACCCUGGUAGUCCACGCCCUAAACGAUGUCAACUA
rnacentral:rRNA from 1 species